rnacentral:lncRNA from 1 species
GCAUUGGGAUCGACUUCAUUAAAAGGAAAGGUCGAAUGCUGUUGCUUCACGACGUUAGUACAUGUAUUAUCAGUAAUAUUUAAUAAUUGUUAUAUAAAGUUUCUCCUAUUUAAGUUCACCUGUUUAACUUAUUUUAAUUUACUUAUAGAUUUGGGCGUGGGACCAUCUUCAUGUCGGCCGACCUACUAGUGUUGGAGCUAUUGCUGAUAUGGCUAAUUGUUCUUUG